CCUACGGGAGACAGCAGUGAGGAAUAUUGGUCAAUGGCCGUAAGGCUGAACCAGCCAAGCCGCGUGAAGGAAGAAGGAUCUAUGGUUUGUAAACUUCUUUUAUAGGGGGAUAAAGGUAUCCACGUGUGGAUAUUUGCAUGUAUCCUAUGAAUAAGCAUCGGCUAACUCCGUGCCAGCAGCCGCGGUAAUACGGAGGAUGCGAGCGUUAUCCGGAUUUAUUGGGUUUAAAGGGUGCGCAGGCGGUCGGUUAAGUUAGAGGUGAAAGCCCGGGGCUCAACCACGGACCGGCCGUUGAAACGGUCAGUCUCGAGUGUAGGAGAGGUAGGCGGAAGGCGCGGUGUAGCGGUGAAAUGCAUAGAUAUCGUGCAGAACUCCGAUUGCGAAGGCAGCAUGCCG
rnacentral:rRNA from 1 species